rnacentral:rRNA from 1 species
UUGCCAGCGGGUUAUGCCGGGCACUCUAGCUGAACUGCCGUUGACAAAACGGAGGAAGGUGGGGAUGACGUCAAAUCAUCAUGCCCUUUAUGUCCUGGGCUACACACGUGCUACAAUGGCCUGUACAGAGGGAAGCGAAAGGGUGACCUGGAGCGAAUCCCAAAAAGCAGGUCUCAGUUCGGAUUGCAGGCUGCAACCCGCCUGCAUGAAGUCGGAAUCGCUAGUAAUCGCAGGUCAGCAUACUGUGGUGAAUACGUUCCCGGGCCUU